AGCGUACACGGUGGAUGCCCUGGCAGUCAGAGGCGAUGAAGGACGUGCUAAUCUGCGAAAAGCGCCGGCGAGGUGAUAUGAACCUUUGACCCGGCGAUGUCCGAAUGGGGAAACCCAGUGCAAUCCGUUGCACUAUCGUUAACUGAAUACAUAGGUUAACGAGGCGAACCGGGGGAACUGAAACAUCUAAGUACCCCGAGGAAAAGAAAUCAACCGAGAUUCCCCCAGUAGCGGCGAGCGAACGGGGAGCAGCCCGGAGUCUGAAUCAGCUUGUGUGUUAGUGGAACGGUCUGGAAAGUCCGACGGUACAGGGUGAUAGUCCCGUACACGAAAAUGCACAUGCUGUGAACUCGAAGAGUAGGGCGGGACACGUGGUAUCCUGUCUGAAUAUGGGGGGACCAUCCUCCAAGGCUAAAUACUCCUGACUGACCGAUAGUGAACCAGUACCGUGAGGGAAAGGCGAAAAGAACCCCGGCGAGGGGAGUGAAAAAGAACCUGAAACCGUGUACGUACAAGCAGUGGGAGCCUCUUUAUGGGGUGACUGCGUACCUUUUGUAUAAUGGGUCAGCGACUUAUAUUCUGUAGCAAGGUUAACCGUAUAGGGGAGCCGAAGGGAAACCGAGUCUUAACUGGGCGUUAAGUUGCAGGGUAUAGACCCGAAACCCGGUGAUCUAGCCAUGGGCAGGUUGAAGGUUGGGUAACACUAACUGGAGGACCGAACCGACUAAUGUUGAAAAAUUAGCGGAUGACCUGUGGCUGGGGGUGAAAGGCCAAUCAAACCGGGAGAUAGCUGGUUCUCCCCGAAAGCUAUUUAGGUAGCGCCUCGUGAACUCAUCUUCGGGGGUAGAGCACUGUUUCGGCUAGGGGGCCAUCCCGGCUUACCAACCCGAUGCAAACUACGAAUACCGAAGAAUGUUAUCACGGGAGACACACGGCGGGUGCUAACGUCCGUCGUGAAGAGGGAAACAACCCAGACCGCCAGCUAAGGUCCCAAAGUCAUGGUUAAGUGGGAAACGAUGUGGGAAGGCACAGACAGCCAGGAUGUUGGCUUAGAAGCAGCCAUCAUUUAAAGAAAGCGUAAUAGCUCACUGGUCGAGUCGGCCUGCGCGGAAGAUGUAACGGGGCUAAACCAUGCACCGAAGCUGCGGCAGCGACACUAUGUGUUGUUGGGUAGGGGAGCGUUCUGUAAGCCGUUGAAGGUGUGCUGUGAGGCAUGCUGGAGGUAUCAGAAGUGCGAAUGCUGACAUAAGUAACGAUAAAGCGGGUGAAAAGCCCGCUCGCCGGAAGACCAAGGGUUCCUGUCCAACGUUAAUCGGGGCAGGGUGAGUCGACCCCUAAGGCGAGGCCGAAAGGCGUAGUCGAUGGGAAACAGGUUAAUAUUCCUGUACUUGGUGUUACUGCGAAGGGGGGACGGAGAAGGCUAUGUCAGCCGGGCGACGGUUGUCCCGGUUUAAGCAUGUAGGCGGAGGUUCCAGGUAAAUCCGGUACCUUAUUAACGCUGAGGUGUGAUGACGAGGCACUACGGUGCUGAAGUGAUAAAUGCCCUGCUUCCAGGAAAAGCCUCUAAGCAUCAGGUAACACGAAAUCGUACCCCAAACCGACACAGGUGGUCAGGUAGAGAAUACCAAGGCGCUUGAGAGAACUCGGGUGAAGGAACUAGGCAAAAUGGUGCCGUAACUUCGGGAGAAGGCACGCUGAUAUGUAGGUGAAGCCCCUGCGGGCGGAGCUGAAAUCAGUCGAAGAUACCAGCUGGCUGCAACUGUUUAUUAAAAACACAGCACUGUGCAAACACGAAAGUGGACGUAUACGGUGUGACGCCUGCCCGGUGCCGGAAGGUUAAUUGAUGGGGUUAGCGGCAACGCGAAGCUCUUGAUCGAAGCCCCGGUAAACGGCGGCCGUAACUAUAACGGUCCUAAGGUAGCGAAAUUCCUUGUCGGGUAAGUUCCGACCUGCACGAAUGGCGUAAUGAUGGCCAGGCUGUCUCCACCCGAGACUCAGUGAAAUUGAACUCGCUGUGAAGAUGCAGUGUACCCGCGGCAAGACGGAAAGACCCCGUGAACCUUUACUAUAGCUUGACACUGAACACUGGUCCUUGAUGUGUAGGAUAGGUGGGAGGCUUUGAAGCGUGGACGCCAGUCUGCGUGGAGCCAACCUUGAAAUACCACCCUUUAAUGGCUGGUGUUCUAACGUAGACCCGUAAUCCGGGUUGCGGACAGUGUCUGGUGGGUAGUUUGACUGGGGCGGUCUCCUCCCAAAGAGUAACGGAGGAGCACGAAGGUUGGCUAAUCCUGGUCGGACAUCAGGAGGUUAGUGCAAUGGCAUAAGCCAGCUUGACUGCGAGCGUGACGGCGCGAGCAGGUGCGAAAGCAGGUCAUAGUGAUCCGGUGGUUCUGAAUGGAAGGGCCAUCGCUCAACGGAUAAAAGGUACUCCGGGGAUAACAGGCUGAUACCGCCCAAGAGUUCAUAUCGACGGCGGUGUUUGGCACCUCGAUGUCGGCUCAUCACAUCCUGGGGCUGAAGUAGGUCCCAAGGGUAUGGCUGUUCGCCAUUUAAAGUGGUACGCGAGCUGGGUUUAGAACGUCGUGAGACAGUUCGGUCCCUAUCUGCCGUGGGCGCUGGAGAAUUGAGGGGGGCUGCUCCUAGUACGAGAGGACCGGAGUGGACGCAUCACUGGUGUUCGGGUUGUCAUGCCAAUGGCACUGCCCGGUAGCUAAAUGCGGAAGAGAUAAGUGCUGAAAGCAUCUAAGCACGAAACUUGCCCCGAGAUGAGUUCU
rnacentral:rRNA from 1 species